GGAAGGAUCAUUACAAACGUCUCCAAAACGUUCCAUCAACACGUGAAUUCGUUUCGCUCCCGGCGCUUCUAUGGCUGCGGCCGUAGACGUCGGCAAUAUUCUCCUCUUCACACAAAUUUCGGUUUGUGUCGACGAGGACACGCCGUGCGGCGUGCACCUGCGUGGUGUACUCGUCGGCGUGCUUUUUUAAAACACCAAUUUCACCCCUUCAAAACACUAGUUGAUUUUCGUUCGAGUGCAUGCCUUCGGGCCGCACACGACUGUUGUAUUUCAACAUACAAUACAACUCUUAGCAAUGGAUAUCUAGGCUCUCGCAACGAUGAAGAACGCAGCGAAAUGCGAUACGUAAUGCGAAUUGCAGGAUUCAGCGAGUCAUCAAAUCUUUGAACGCAAAUGGCGCUCUUGGGAUAGACCUAGGAGCACGCUUCUCUCAGUAUCGGUUCUCACUCCUCUCAGCAGCGUCGGCAGCAGAAACUCUGCUAUCGACGCGUUGGCUGGUGAAUGAGCGUCUGUAUGCUUCAGUCGUAUAGUCGCUUGAAAUGCAUGGAAGGUUAGUAGUGUCUCUUGGCAUUCGGCACCGCAAGGUUCCGCUUUGCCGCGAGCCUCUUGUCCGUUUUGUGUGCGCCUCCUCUAUGAUGCGAACGCUGCUCUUCUUUCCGUGUGGUAUGCCUCUGCGUGAGGCUGCUCGUGAGAAAGCACUCCGUCUCGACUUUCGAGUGACGUGAAUGAAUGAUCCCUUGUGGGUCGCUCUCUCUUACGUGUAACUCGAUCGCUUUCGGCGCGGCUAGUGUUGGGCGGUGAUCGUCAUCGGACGGCGCUAGGACGAGGUUCGUUCGGGACGCAUGCUACCGGCAGAAAACCAUAUGAUACGUUCGGUCCUGGGCCGACGGUAUCUGAAUUUUGAUCUGAGAUGAAGCGAGACAACCCCCUGAAUUUAAGCAUAUUAAUAAGGGGAGGAAAAGAAAAUAACAAUGAUACCCUCAGUAACGGCGAGUGAAGCGGGUAAAGCUCAAUUUGAAAAUCGACUACCCAAACGGGUCGUCGAGUUGUAGCCUAUUGACGUACUAUCAGCUGAAACGUGGGUAUAAGUUCGUUGGAAUGCGACUUCAUAGAGGGUGAGAGACCCGUAUAUGACCCACUGUGUUCGGCGUACGAUGUGCGCUCAUCGAGUCGAGUUGUUUGGGAUUGCAGCUCUAAUUGGGUGGUAAGUUUCAUCUAAAGCUAAAUAAUGGCGAGAGACCGAUAGCGAACAAGUACCGUGAGGGAAAGAUGAAAAGAACUUUGAAAAGAGAGUUAAAAGUACUUGAAAUUGCUAAGAGGGAAGCGCUGGAAACCAGUGCCAUGUCGCGUUAAUCGCCGUCGAGCGCUAAUCUCGUGCGCAGUGCAAUGGGCAACCUUGUCUGUGUACGGUGUGAGGACGCUCGGCGGUCUAUAGCGCGGCGUACGUCAAGAUCCAUUCGAGCGGUGGGAGAGGGGGAGAGGUGGGGUAGGAGCUUCGGCUCUGUUAACACCUCUUCUCGUACCUCGGCUUGGAUGGAGGAAUGUAAUGGCGCGCCGCUUGUCGGCUUACGCCCGUGCUCCUACGUCGUCAACGGCGAACGAGAGCAAUGCUCUCGCCGUCGUGAAGCGGCGCACUGGGUGCGGUGCGUUUAAGUGCCAUCACGAUCUUGUACGAAAUGGUUUUCAUCGACCCGUCUUGAAACACGGACCAAGGAGUCUAACAUCUAUGCGAGUAUUUGGGUGUCGAAACCCUGAUGCGUAAUGAAAGUAAAGGCAGCUUCUUGCUGCUGAGGUAGGAAUCCCUUCACCGGGAGGCACUAUCGACCGAUCAUCACUUGUGAAAGAUUUGAGUAAGAGCAUAUCUGUUGGGACCCGAAAGAUGGUGAUCUAUGCCUGAACAGGGCGAAGCCAGGGGAAACUCUGGUGGAGGCUCGUAGCGAUACUGACGUGCAAAUCGUUCGUCUGAUUUGGGUAUAGGGGCGAAAGACUAAUCGAACCAUCUAGUAGCUGGUUCCCUC
rnacentral:misc_RNA from 1 species